UUUAAUUGAAGAGUUUGAUCAUGGCUCAGAUUGAACGCUGGCGGUAGGUUUUAUACAUGCAAGUCGAGCGGUAACAGACAUUUUUGAUUCAGCUUGCUGAAUCUUGUGCUGACGAGCGGCGAACGGGUGAGUAACGCGUAGGAAUCUGCCCAGUAGCGGGGGAUAGCCCGAGGAAACUCGGAUUAAUACCGCAUACGCCCUAAGGGGGAAAGAAGGCCUCUCCUUGGAAGCUUUCACUAUUGGAUGAGCCUGCGUAAGAUUAGUUUGUUGGUGAGGUAAUGGCUCACCAAGGCGACGAUCUUUAGCUGGUCUGAGAGGACGACCAGCCACAUUGGGACUGAGACACGGCCCAGACUCCUACGGGAGGCAGCAGUAAAGAAUCUUGGACAAUGGGGGAAACCCUGAUCCAGCCAUACCGCGUGUGUGAAGAAGGCCUUAGGGUUGUAAAGCACUUUAAGCAACCAGGAAGAAAAGUAAGUUAAUACCUUAUUUUUUUGACAUUAAUUGCAGAAUAAGUACCGGCUAACUCCGUGCCAGCAGCCGCGGUAAUACGGAGGGUACAAGCGUUAAUCGGAAUUACUGGGCGUAAAGCGCGCGUAGGCGGCUAAGCAAGUUGGGUGUGAAAGCCCAGGGCUCAACCCUGGAACUGCAUUCAAAACUAUUUAGCUAGAGUACGAGAGAGGAGAGUAGAAUUUCUGGUGUAGCGGUGAAAUGCGUAGAUAUCAGAAGGAAUACCAAUGGCGAAGGCAGCUCUCUGGAUCGUCACUGACGCUAAGGUGCGAAAGCGUGGGUAGCAAACAGGAUUAGAUACCCUGGUAGUCCACGCCGUAAACGAUGAGAACUAGCCGUUGGGAGGGAUUAACCUUUCAGUGGCGCAGCUAACGCAUUAAGUUCUCCGCCUGGGGACUACGGCCGCAAGGCUAAAACUCAAAUGAAUUGACGGGGGCCCGCACAAGCGGUGGAGCAUGUUGUUUAAUUCGAUGCAACGCGAAGAACCUUACCUACCCUUGAAAUCCAGCGAAGUUCUUAGAGAUAGGAAUGUGCCUUCGGGAACGCUGUGACAGGUGUUGCAUGGCUGUCGUCAGCUCGUGUCGUGAGAUGUAUGGUUAAGUCCAGUAACGAGCGCAACCCCUAUCCUUAUUUGCCAGCGAGUAAUGUCGGGAACUAUAGGGAGACUGCCGGUCAAAAACCGGAGGAAGGCGGGGACGAGGUCAAGUCAUCAUGGCCCUUAUGGGUAGGGCUACAAACGUGCUACAAUGGAUGGUACAAAAGGCUGCGAAAGCGCGAGCUGGAGCCAAUCCUUCAAAACCAUUCUUAGUCCGGAUUGGAGUCUGCAACUCGACUCCAUGAAGUUGGAAUCGCUAGUAAUCGCGAAUCAGAAUGUCGCGGUGAAUACGUUCUCGGGCCUUGUACACACCGCCCGUCACGUCAUGGAAGUGGGUUGCACCAGAAGUGGUUUGUUUAACCUUCGGGGAGACGGUCACCACGGUGUGAUUCACAACUGGGACGAAGUCGUAACAAGGUAGCCCUAGGGGAACCUGGGGCUGGAUCACCUCCUUA
rnacentral:rRNA from 1 species